CCUGGCAGCUCUAUUUAUAUACAGCUCCAUUUUUGAAGAAAUAUAUUUCAGUUGUAGCUGUUAGAAAACGCAAGUGGAAUCUGCACCACAAAAAUGAAAUGAAAAUGCAGCAGUAAACGCUCUCCUCCUCUCCUUGCUGACUUUUCCGUGAUGCCUGCUACCCCUAGCUGUCUGAUGUCCCCUGUUGUGAGGCUCAGUUGUGCUAACAGAAGCAGUUUUCUGAGUGGAGGAACUCAAUUGGACUGUGGUCAAAACCUGAAACCAAUUUUAGAUGGGGAAAAUCUCACUUAGAUUCUCCAAGCAAGUACAAAGUCCUCAAAACUUCCCAAAUGAGGCACUUGAGGUUCUUCCAGGACACGGAGAGUGAUCAGCUGGCCGUAAAUCAGUGCUGCUUCAGCUCUUGAAAUCGUUAGGAUGGAAGGUCACUUCAUCAACUGUUAUUUGCAGCUUCUUAAACCAUCCAAGCAACUUCAAAAUGAAAGACAAUUUGGAGGGCUACUUCUGCCCUGUAAUUUCAACCGUUUGGGAGUUUACUCUGCUUAUGAAAGAAAACUGAGCAAUGAUUAUGAUCUUGUCCUGUGGAGAGGAUCCUCCUUGCACAUGGCCAGCAGGGCAUUGCAGUAGUAUGUCUCCUUCCUGCACAACCAAGGAUAACAUGAGAAGGCCAAGACUGCAUGGGAUGAAACCACCAACAGUACAGACUUCCCUUCCAUCAUCUGCCAGAACAGGAAGGCGCCAAUUUGCAGCAAGUUCUGCCAAGGGCAGGGUAGUAAAAGAAGAGGUGCACAGUUCAGAAGAACAUUUUAUGGCCUUUGGAUUAAAAUCAUUCAGUCUGUCCUCAUACUUGAUUUUUAACAGUUGCAUUUAUAUGUUAAGAAAACAAUGGUAUUGUUUAUGA
rnacentral:lncRNA from 1 species